rnacentral:rRNA from 1 species
GGGUUGUGAGGUUAAGCGACUAAGCGUACACGGUGGAUGCCCUGGCAGUCAGAGGCGAUGAAGGACGUGCUAAUCUGCGAUAAGCGUCGGUAAGGUGAUAUGAACCGUUAUAACCGGCGAUUUCCGAAUGGGGAAACCCAGUGUGUUUCGACACACUAUCAUUAACUGAAUCCAUAGGUUAAUGAGGCGAACCGGGGGAACUGAAACAUCUAAGUACCCCGAGGAAAAGAAAUCAACCGAGAUUCCCCCAGUAGCGGCGAGCGAACGGGGAGCAGCCCAGAGCCUGAAUCAGUAUGUGUGUUAGUGGAAGCGUCUGGAAAGGCGCGCGAUACAGGGUGACAGCCCCGUACACAAAAAUGCACAUGCUGUGAGCUCGAUGAGUAGGGCGGGACACGUGGUAUCCUGUCUGAAUAUGGGGGGACCAUCCUCCAAGGCUAAAUACUCCUGACUGACCGAUAGUGAACCAGUACCGUGAGGGAAAGGCGAAAAGAACCCCGGCGAGGGGAGUGAAAAAGAACCUGAAACCGUGUACGUACAAGCAGUGGGAGCACGCUUAGGCGUGUGACUGCGUACCUUUUGUAUAAUGGGUCAGCGACUUAUAUUCUGUAGCAAGGUUAACCGAAUAGGGGAGCCGAAGGGAAACCGAGUCUUAACUGGGCGUUAAGUUGCAGGGUAUAGACCCGAAACCCGGUGAUCUAGCCAUGGGCAGGUUGAAGGUUGGGUAACACUAACUGGAGGACCGAACCGACUAAUGUUGAAAAAUUAGCGGAUGACUUGUGGCUGGGGGUGAAAGGCCAAUCAAACCGGGAGAUAGCUGGUUCUCCCCGAAAGCUAUUUAGGUAGCGCCUCGUGAAUUCAUCUCCGGGGGUAGAGCACUGUUUCGGCAAGGGGGUCAUCCCGACUUACCAACCCGAUGCAAACUGCGAAUACCGGAGAAUGUUAUCACGGGAGACACACGGCGGGUGCUAACGUCCGUCGUGAAGAGGGAAACAACCCAGACCGCCAGCUAAGGUCCCAAAGUCAUGGUUAAGUGGGAAACGAUGUGGGAAGGCCCAGACAGCCAGGAUGUUGGCUUAGAAGCAGCCAUCAUUUAAAGAAAGCGUAAUAGCUCACUGGUCGAGUCGGCCUGCGCGGAAGAUGUAACGGGGCUAAACCAUGCACCGAAGCUGCGGCAGCGACGCUUAUGCGUUGUUGGGUAGGGGAGCGUUCUGUAAGCCUGUGAAGGUGUGCUGUGAGGCAUGCUGGAGGUAUCAGAAGUGCGAAUGCUGACAUAAGUAACGAUAAAGCGGGUGAAAAGCCCGCUCGCCGGAAGACCAAGGGUUCCUGUCCAACGUUAAUCGGGGCAGGGUGAGUCGACCCCUAAGGCGAGGCCGAAAGGCGUAGUCGAUGGGAAACAGGUUAAUAUUCCUGUACUUGGUGUUACUGCGAAGGGGGGACGGAGAAGGCUAUGUUGGCCGGGCGACGGUUGUCCCGGUUUAAGCGUGUAGGCUGGUUUUCCAGGCAAAUCCGGAAAAUCAAGGCUGAGGCGUGAUGACGAGGCACUACGGUGCUGAAGCAACAAAUGCCCUGCUUCCAGGAAAAGCCUCUAAGCAUCAGGUAACAUCAAAUCGUACCCCAAACCGACACAGGUGGUCAGGUAGAGAAUACCAAGGCGCUUGAGAGAACUCGGGUGAAGGAACUAGGCAAAAUGGUGCCGUAACUUCGGGAGAAGGCACGCUGAUAUGUAGGUGAAGUCCCUCGCGGAUGGAGCUGAAAUCAGUCGAAGAUACCAGCUGGCUGCAACUGUUUAUUAAAAACACAGCACUGUGCAAACACGAAAGUGGACGUAUACGGUGUGACGCCUGCCCGGUGCCGGAAGGUUAAUUGAUGGGGUCAGCGCAAGCGAAGCUCUUGAUCGAAGCCCCGGUAAACGGCGGCCGUAACUAUAACGGUCCUAAGGUAGCGAAAUUCCUUGUCGGGUAAGUUCCGACCUGCACGAAUGGCGUAAUGAUGGCCAGGCUGUCUCCACCCGAGACUCAGUGAAAUUGAACUCGCUGUGAAGAUGCAGUGUACCCGCGGCAAGACGGAAAGACCCCGUGAACCUUUACUAUAGCUUGACACUGAACAUUGAGCCUUGAUGUGUAGGAUAGGUGGGAGGCUUUGAAGUGUGGACGCCAGUCUGCAUGGAGCCGACCUUGAAAUACCACCCUUUAAUGUUUGAUGUUCUAACGUUGACCCGUAAUCCGGGUUGCGGACAGUGUCUGGUGGGUAGUUUGACUGGGGCGGUCUCCUCCUAAAGAGUAACGGAGGAGCACGAAGGUUGGCUAAUCCUGGUCGGACAUCAGGAGGUUAGUGCAAUGGCAUAAGCCAGCUUGACUGCGAGCGUGACGGCGCGAGCAGGUGCGAAAGCAGGUCAUAGUGAUCCGGUGGUUCUGAAUGGAAGGGCCAUCGCUCAACGGAUAAAAGGUACUCCGGGGAUAACAGGCUGAUACCGCCCAAGAGUUCAUAUCGACGGCGGUGUUUGGCACCUCGAUGUCGGCUCAUCACAUCCUGGGGCUGAAGUAGGUCCCAAGGGUAUGGCUGUUCGCCAUUUAAAGUGGUACGCGAGCUGGGUUUAGAACGUCGUGAGACAGUUCGGUCCCUAUCUGCCGUGGGCGCUGGAGAACUGAGGGGGGCUGCUCCUAGUACGAGAGGACCGGAGUGGACGCAUCACUGGUGUUCGGGUUGUCAUGCCAAUGGCACUGCCCGGUAGCUAAAUGCGGAAGAGAUAAGUGCUGAAAGCAUCUAAGCACGAAACUUGCCCCGAGAUGAGUUCUCCCUGACUCCUUGAGAGUCCUGAAGGAACGUUGAAGACGACGACGUUGAUAGGCCGGGUGUGUAAGCGCAGCGAUGCGUUGAGCUAACCGGUACUAAUGAACCGUGAGGCUUAACCUUACAACGCCGAAGGUGUUU